UCCUACGGGUGGCUGCAGUAGGGAAUAUUGGUCAAUGGGUGAGAGCCUGAACCAGCCAUGCCGCGUGCAGGAAGAAGGCCUUCUGGGUUGUAAACUGCUUUUGCCAGGGGAUAAAAGAUCCCUGCGGGGAAAAUUGAAGGUACCUGGUGAAUAAGCCACGGCUAACUACGUGCCAGCAGCCGCGGUAAUACGUAGGUGGCAAGCGUUGUCCGGAUUUAUUGGGUUUAAAGGGUGCGUAGGCGGUUCUGUAAGUCAGUGGUGAAAUACGGCAGCUUAACUGUCGAGGUGCCAUUGAUACUGCGGAACUUGAGUACAGACGAGGUAGGCGGAAUUGACGGUGUAGCGGUGAAAUGCUUAGAUAUCGUCAAGAACACCGAUAGCGAAGGCAGCUUACUAGACUGUAACUGACGCUGAGGCACGAAAGUGUGGGGAUCAAACAGGAUUAGAUACCCUGGUAGUC
rnacentral:rRNA from 1 species